rnacentral:rRNA from 1 species
AACGAACGCUGGCGGCAUGCCUAACACAUGCAAGUCGAACGAGACCUUCGGGUCUAGUGGCGCACGGGUGCGUAACGCGUGGGAACCUGCCCUUAGGUUCGGAAUAACUCCCCGAAAGGGGUGCUAAUACCGGAUAAUGUCUUCGGACCAAAGAUUUAUCGCCUUUGGAUGGGCCCGCGUUGGAUUAGCUAGUUGGUAGGGUAAAAGCCUACCAAGGCGACGAUCCAUAGCUGGUCUGAGAGGAUGAUCAGCCACACUGGGACUGAGACACGGCUCAGACUCCUACGGGAGGCAGCAGUGGGGAAUAUUGGACAAUGGGCGAAAGCCUGAUCAAGCAAUGCCGCGUGAGUGAUGAAGGCCUUAGGGUUGUAAAGCUCUUUUACCCGGGAUGAUAAUGACAGUACCGGGAGAAUAAGCUCCGGCUAACUCCGUG